rnacentral:rRNA from 1 species
CCUACGGGUGACAGCAGUGGGGAAUUUUGGACAAUGGGCGCAAGCCUGAUCCAGCUAUUCCGCGUGUGGGAUGACGGCCCUCGGGUUGUAAACCACUUUAGUAAAGAACGAAAAGGAGAUAUCGCGUAAAUAGCUCUGCUGACGGUACUCUAAUAAUAAGCACCGGCUAACUACGUGCCAGCAGCCGCGGCAAUACGUAGGGUGCGAGCGUUAAUCGGAAUUACUGGGCGUAAAGGGUGUGCAGGAGGGCGUGUAAGACAGAUGUGAAAUCCCCGGGCUUAACCUGGGAACCGCAUAUGUGACUGCUUGGCUAGAGUGUGUCAGAGGGAGGUGGAAUUCAAGGUGUAGCAGUGAAAUGCGUAGAUAUGUGGAAGAACACCGAUGGCGAAGGCAGCUUACUGGGACGAUACUGACGCUGAGACACGAAAGCGUGGGGAGCAAACAGGAUUAGAUACCCCAGUAGUC